AGAAUCAACGCUGGCGGCGUGCCUAACACAUGCAAGUCGAACGAGAAAGUGGAGCAAUCCAUGAGUAAAGUGGCGACCGGGUGAGUAACACGUGACUAACCUACCUUCGAGUGGGGGAUAACCUCGGGAAACCGAGGCUAAUACCGCAUAACAUCGCAAGAUCAAAGCAGCAAUGCGCUGGAAGAGGGGGUCGCGGCUGAUUAGCUAGUUGGCGGGUAAUGGCCCACCAAGGCGAAGAUCGGUA
rnacentral:rRNA from 1 species